GACGAACGCUGGCGGCGUGCCUAAUGCAUGCAAGUUGAGCGCUGAAGGUUGGUACUUGUACCGACUGGAUGAGCAGCUAACGGGUGAGUAACGCGUGGGGAAUCUGCCUUUUAUCGGGGGACAACUUUUGGAAACGAAUGCUAAUACCGCAUAAAAACUUUAAACACACGUUUUAAGUUUGAAAGAUGCAAUUUCAUCACUCAAAGAUGAUCCCGCGUUGUAUUAGCUAGUUGGUGAGGUAAAGUCUCACCAAGGCGAUGAUACAUAUCCGACCUGAGAGGGUGAUAGGAAAAAUUGGGAAUGAGAAAAGGCCAAAAAUGAGACGGGAGGCAGAAGGAGGGAAACAUCGGAAAUGGACGAAAGUCUGAAAGAGCAGAGCCGAGUGAGUGGAGAAGGGUUACGGAUCGUAAAACUCUGUUGGUAGAGAAGAACGUAGGUGAGAGUGGAAAGCUCAUAAAGUGACGGUAACUAACCAGAAAGGGACGGCUAACUACGUG
rnacentral:rRNA from 1 species